rnacentral:rRNA from 1 species
AAAAAUUAAAUGUCUGCCUCUGGUUGUACUGGUCUCACUGAUUCCUCCUUCCUGAUGAACCGUAAUGCCAUUAAUUUGGUGUUGCGGGGAAUUUGGACUGUUACUUUGAAAAAAUUAGAGUGUUUAAAGCAAGCUAACGCUUGAAUACAUUAGCAUGGAAUAAUGAAAUAGGACGUUCGAUCCUAUUUUGUUGGUUUCUAGGAUUGACGUAAUGAUUAAUAGGGAUAGUUGGG